GCGUUGGUGUUGUUGCGCUCCUGGGUUCGAUCCACCGUAGGAGGAGUGUCCAGGGCCUUAACCGGUACAGACGCAUGCUGGCUCCGGGCCUAAGGGGAGGGAGUAGAGCCGAAGGCCCGAACCCACCACCUGGUUAAAAAAAAAAAAAAAAAAACUGACAAUAUGUAGCACGAUUAUUUCACUUGCGUCAAAAUAGGAUGUCAUAGAUAGGGUUCAUUGGUUUAAACCACGAGAGGUUUGUGAGAUUUGACAUUUUCGUCCAGGUAUUUCACUAUAUAUUUCUUACGCUUUUUGAACAAUUAGGUUUUAUCAGUAAUCCAUAGAGUAACAAGAGUUGGUGAAAAACUGAAAAUGUGAUGUAUCAUGAGUUUACUUGCGCUUAAAACAAGAGUCACAAACAAAAUCCGUGAACGCCCUAUAAUAAUACGUAGAUUAAUAAUAUUCUCUCCGU
rnacentral:lncRNA from 1 species